rnacentral:rRNA from 1 species
AUUGAACGCUGGCGGCAGGCCUAACACAUGCAAGUCGAACGAGUGGCGGACGGGUGAGUAAUGUCUGGGAAACUGCCAGAUGGAGGGGGAUAACUACUGGAAACGGUAGCUAAUACCGCAUACCAUCGGAUGUGCCCAGAUGGGAUUAGCUAGUAGGUGGGGUACAGGCUCACCUAGGCGACGAUCCCUAGCUGGUCUGAGAGGAUGACCAGCCAACCUGGAACUGAGACACGGUCCAGACUCGUACGGGAGGCAGCAGUGGGUAAUAUUGCACAAGGGGCGCAAGCCUGAUGCAGCCAUGCCGGGUGUAUGAAGAAGGCCUUCGGGUUGUAAAGUACUUUCAGCGAGGAGGCGUUACUCGCAGAAGAAGCACCGGCUAACUCCGUGCCAGCAGCCGCGGUAAUAC